rnacentral:rRNA from 1 species
AUUGAACGCUGGCGGCGUGCCUAAUACAUGCAAGUAGGACGCAGUUGCGAACGGGUGAGUAACGCGUAGGAACCUGCCUAUUAGAGGGGGAUAACUAUUGGAAACGAUAGCUAAUACCGCAUACUAUCAGAUGAGCCUAGGUCGGAUUAGCGAGUUGGUGGGGUAAAGGCCUACCAAGGCGACGAUCCGUAACUGGUCUGAGAGGAGGAUCAGUCACACUGGAACUGAGACACGGUCCAGACUCCUACGGGAGGCAGCAGUGGGGAAUAUUGCACAAUGGGCGCAAGCCGGAUGCAGCCAUGCCGCGUGUAUGAAGAAGGCCUUCGGGUUGUAAAGUACUUUCAGCGGGGAGGCGUUACCCGCAGAAGAAGCACCGGCCAACUCCGUGCCAGCAGCCGCGGUAAUUC